rnacentral:rRNA from 1 species
UUUGACCUCGGAUCAGGUAGGGAUACCCGCUGAACUUAAGCAUAUCAAUAAGCGGAGGAAAAGAAACCAACAGGGAUUGCCCUAGUAACGGCGAGUGAAGCGGCAACAGCUCAAAUUUGAAAUCUGGCUCUUUCAGGGUCCGAGUUGUAAUUUGUAGAGGGUGCUUUGGCGUCGGCCGUGGUCUAAGUUCCUUGGAACAGGACGUCACAGAGGGUGAGAACCCCGUACGUGGCCGCUGGCCUUCGCCGUGUAAAGCCCCUUCGACGAGUCGAGUUGUUUGGGAAUGCAGCUCUAAAUGGGAGGUAAAUUUCUUCUAAAGCUAAAUAUUGGCCAGAGACCGAUAGCGCACAAGUAGAGUGAUCGAAAGAUGAAAAGCACUUUGGAAAGAGAGUCAAAAAGCACGUGAAAUUGUUGAAAGGGAAGCGCUUGCAGCCAGACUUGCCUGUAGUUGCUCAUCCGAGCUUUUGUUCGGUGCACUCUUCUGCGGGCAGGCCAGCAUCAGUUCGGGCGGUCGGAUAAAGGUCUCGGGAAUGUGGCUCCUCUCGGGGAGUGUUAUAGCCCGGGGCGUCAUGCGACCAGUCUGGACUGAGGUCCGCGCAUCUGCUAGGAUGCUGGCGUAAUGGCUGUAAGCGGCCCGUCUUGAAACACGGACCAAGGAGUCUAACAUCUAUGCGAGUGUUUGGGUGUCAAGCCCGGGCGCGUAAUGAAAGUGAACGGAGGUGGGAACCCCUCGGGGUGCACCAUCGACCGAUCCUGAUGUCUUCGGAUGGAUUUGAGUAAGAGCAUAGCUGUUGGGACCCGAAAGAUGGUGAACUAUGCCUGAAUAGGGUGAAGCCAGAGGAAACUCUGGUGGAGGCUCGCAGCGGUUCUGACGUGCAAAUCGAUCGUCAAAUUUGGGCAUAGGGGCGAAAGACUAAUCGAA